AGCAGCCGCGGUAAUUCCAGCUCCAAUAGCGUAUAUUAAAGUUGUUGCAGUUAAAAAGCUCGUAGUUGAAUUUCGGAAUCAGUAUGUCGGUCGUGCCUCCGGUAUGUACUGGCGUCACUGGUUCCUCCCUUCUGACGAACCAUCAUGCUAUUAAUUUAGUGUGGUGGGAAAUCAGGACUGUUACUUUGAAAAAAUUAGAGUGUUUAAAGCAGGCUC
rnacentral:rRNA from 1 species